rnacentral:ncRNA from 1 species
ACCGAGAGUAGAAGCGUUCAGCAGCGCACGCACCCGAUUCGUGCGCCCGCCCGGAAAUUGCUCUUGAG